rnacentral:ncRNA from 1 species
AAAGGUUUGGUCCUAGCCUUGAGAUCAACUUGUACUUAACUUACACAUGCAAGUAUCCGCACCCCUGUGAAAACGCCCUUAAUAUCCUCAUAGGAAUAAGGAGCCGGUAUCAGGCGCAUCAUUUUGCCCAAGACACCUAGCUAUGCCACACCCACAAGGGACUUCAGCAGUGAUUAAUAUUGAACAUAAGCGACAGCUUGAUUCAGUUAAAGUACACAAAGCCGGCAAAUCUGGUGCCAGCCGCCGCGGUUACACCAAGAGGCUUAAGUUGACUUCGAUCGGCGUAAAGCGUGAUUAAAGUCAUUAAAAAAUAAAGUCAAACUACUACUAAGCUGUAGUACGCUUGUACGUAGGAAUCUCAUAAACGAAAGUUACUUUAACAACAACAACUUGAACUCACGAAAGCUAGGGAACAAACUGGGAUUAGAUACCCCACUAUGCCUAGCCGUAAACUUUAAAUUACACCUCAAUCGCCUGGGAACUACGAGCAAAGCUUAAAACCCAAAGGACUUGACGGUACCCCAUAUCCACCUAGAGGAGCCUGUCCUAUAAUCGAUAACCCCCGCUUAACCUCACCAUUUUUAGCCUAUCAGCCUGUAUACCUCCGUCGUCAGCUUACCACGUGAGCGAAGUUAAGUAAGCUUAAUGUCCAUACGUCAAUACGUCAGGUCAAGGUGCAGUAAAUAAAAUGGGAAGAGAUGGGCUACAUUUUCUAUCAUAGAAUAAACGAAAGACUAUUUAUGAAACCUAGUCAGAAGGCGGAUUUAGCAGUAAAAAGAAACCAGAGAGUUCUUUUUAACCCGGCACUGGGGUGUGUACACACCGCCCGUCACCCUCUUCAAAGCCAAAAGACCAGUAUUUAACACUUUUUAGCAUACUAGAAGAGGUAAGUCGUAACAUGGUAAGUAUACCGGAAGGUGUGCUUGGAAA